rnacentral:tRNA from 1 species
AUGUAGCUCAGUUGGUAGAAUGCUUGCCUUGCAUGCAUGAGGUCCUGGGUUCUAGCCCCAGCAU